AGCUUUGCGCAGUGGCAGUAUCGUAGCCAAUGAGGUUUAUCCGAGGCGCGAUUAUUGCUAAUAGAAUUGCCGGAAAUUUCUUUUAAAAAAGAUUGCACCUUGAAUUUCAUACUUUUAGUGACAGAAACUAAACUUGAAUUUCAUGAAAAUUCCAGAAU
rnacentral:snRNA from 1 species